rnacentral:sRNA from 1 species
CUUCUUCUUCCAACCACAGUUCUGGGUCGCGAACGAUCCCUCCCUGUCCUCACCCUCGUAAGGACAGUGCGAGGUCGAACGUUCGUGACGACUCGACUCUCUGCGCGGAGCACAUUGCAAACCCCUCCAUAAUGUUUAUUUCCCGGUCGACAGAACUGAGAGCACCCCUUUCUCGACCUUUCGCCCUGCUGUGGGCCAGUCCGCUCGAGCUCGGUCCUUGAGACGUCGUUUGCUUUGAGGUCUUCGCGAUCUUGGCGGCUUCCGAACGGGGACUUUGAUAGCUCGGCGGCCUGAGGUCGGGGGGAGACGUCUUAUUCCCAAGCUUGGUGUACGCGCCUCGUCGAGGCAUGAUCAUUGGGCAAAACCAAGACUAUUGUCUACAGAC